CGGGACGUGGCUCAGCUUGGUAGAGCACUUGACUGGGGGUCAAGGGGUCGUGGGUUCAAAUCCCGCCGUCCCGA
rnacentral:tRNA from 2 species